UGGCAUAUCCAAAAAGCGGAGGAAAAGAAACUAACAAGGAUUCCCCUAGUAACGGCGAGUGAAGCGGGAAGAGCUCAAAUUUGAAAGCUGGCACCUUCGGUGUCCGCGUUGUAAUCUCGAGAAGUGUUUUCCGUGCUGGACCAUGUACAAGUUCCUUGGAAUAGGACGUCAUAGAGGGUGAAAAUCCCGUACUUGACAUGGACGCCCAGUGCUUUGUGAUACACUCUCCACGAGUCGAGUUGUUUGGGAAUGCAGCUCAAAAUGGGUGGUAAAUUCCAUCUAAAGCUAAAUAUUGGGGAGAGACCGAUAGCGAACAAGUACCGUGAGGGAAAGAUGAAAAGCACUUUGGAAAGAGAGUUAAACAGUACGUGAAAUUGUCGAAAGGGAAGCGCUUGAAGUUAGACAUGCUUGCCGGGAUUCAGCCUUGCUUUUGCUUGGUGCAUUUCCCGGUGUGCAGGCCAGCAUCAGUUUUGUUUGCCGGAUAAGGGUGAGAGGAAUGUGGCCCCUCGGGGUGUUAUAGCCUCUCACUGGAUACGGCGGAUGGGACUGAGGACCGCAGUGUGCCUUUAUGGCGGGCCUUCGGGCACCUUCACACUUAGGAUGCUGGCGUAAUGGCUUUAAGCGACCCGUCUUGAACCACGGACCC
rnacentral:rRNA from 1 species